rnacentral:lncRNA from 1 species
UUAAUAUAAGUCAUAGAAUUAAUUAGAAUUAAUUUGGUGACUUAAAGAGAUUAAUUAAAUAAAGGGGUAUAAACUGUCAAUUGUUUGAUAGUUAAACUUUAGACUGUAAAUCCAUAUAGAUAUGGAUUGGACGAAUUCUAGAAGCUAAAGGAUAGCUAAAUUCGUCCAAGGCUUAUCUAUGGAAAGGAUUUGGAUAGCCUUAAGAGAAGAUUAUCCAAUUAGGGUUUAGGUUGUAACCCUUAAGGAGUCUACAAGUAUAAAUAGACCCCAUGGCAUAAGGAAAUCGGCACCUCUCAUAAAGCAAGAGAACCCUGGCCGAUUUCCUCCCCUCUCCUCUCUCCUAAAUCAUCUUCCUUGCUAUUGGUGUUUGUAAGCCAUUAGAGGAGUGACAUUUGUGACUCUAGAAGCUCCAAGACCUCAAGAUCAACAAGGAACUCAAAGGUAUGGUUCUAGAUCUGUUUCAAUGUUGUUAUUUAACCUAAUUAGCCAUUAGAAGUCUUGGAUUCAAAGCAUGUUUAAUUAGAAAGCCUAGAUCCAAGCGUUAGGGUUUUGCAUGCGCAUAUAGGAAAGUUCUUAUGGCUAAAACCCAUCACCAAUAAUUACAAAAUUGCCACUAUGGAGUUACCACUUUGUUGUAACUUGUAGAACUUAUUGAGUUUGGCCUUUAUGAACUUAGUGUCCCAAGUGUUGCACCUCAAAUGGAAUCACAACACACCUAGGAAAAAGGAUGACUUUUGAUAGAAUAUCCUAACAUCAAAAUCGGAUCAAUGAUCUCCAAGAACAUUAGUGUGUCAUUUUGGAUGCUAAGGGGCUUCUUCUAUAGUCCGGCAAGAUUAGGGUUACACCAUGUAAACCCUAAUGUGCAUGACCUUCCGUAUUCCUUAGGCUCCAUGGGUUUAAACCUCCAUGGAUUAUCCAUGGAUUGUCACAUGGUUUUAGCCCAACCUAAGGAAUCAUGGAUCAUCGGCCCACAUCAUAAGAAUGAAUGAUUUUACCAAAUCGACCCCUCAUAUUUAAUUAGUCUCUUUUGAUCACAAAAUUAAUUCCAAAUUAAUUCUUGAUCAAUACUAAUAAAUAAUAUGAUUUUAUAUUAAUAUGUUAGAACUUAUAAUAUAUUAACAAAUCAUAAAUAACCUCUUCUCAAAAGUCCAUCUUGUCAAAUUGUUCUGGUGAUAUGCAACCCAAAUGGACCAUGCUACUCUCAGGUCAAGUACAUACCAAUUAUAGUUAUGAGCUUAGACACCUAAUCCAACAGUCUCCUACUUGAAUAAGUCUAAUAAAUAUUAUUGCAAGUACGACUCCAUAACCCGACGAGCAAUCGUAGCUCUUAAAUGCCAUUGUCGAACUCUGACCUAGUCAAUGACGCAUCCAUUAGAUAAGGGAUCAUAUAUUUCUCCAUUCUAGAUAUCAUACGGACUGAGAGAUGGAUUAUAAUCAUUCUGUCUGUUCAUCUGUUGUUUCCCAAUUUUUGAUUUAUGACGACCGACUAAUUGAACAAAUCAAAUCAGUUUAGGCUUGGUCAAGCACUUAGAGGUGUCAUCACUAAAUCAUCGAGGGCCCCACAUAUAUCACUUUUAUCCACAUGGGGUAAAAGGAACGGAUAAACUUCGACCAAAAUGCUUACUUGUACUUACUCAUCAAAUUACACACAACAAUAUGUUUUAUAACAUCCAAGUUACUGGUUCAUUUACAUAUGUCAAUGUGCACCCGACUCGCAACUACAACUCACAUGUCUCCGUUUCAAGAAUAUAAGAUAUUAUCGUCUCACAAUCACUCGUGAUAAAAUCCAUGAAGUGAUUCAGAUGAGCGUGGGUUGAAUCAGAUACUCAAAUCUUAUUCCAAGAGUACUCAUGAGCAAUGCAGCUAUGUUUUAAACACCUAAACAAACUACAGCCCAUUCAUGACAGUCUUAUCUCAAUACCUACUUCCAAAGUAUGAUCGACUGUGGAUGGUUUAAUUAACCUAGUUAUUCGGGAAGUCAAAACACGCAAGCUGAAACACAAGAAUAAGACUAAUCCUAUAUGGCCCUAAAAAUUUUGAGUCUCAUAUUGAUUACUCAUUAUUCAUUAUAUAAUAUAAUAAUCAACUUAAUACUUGAAUUAAAACAAUAGUUGUCCCAUGCUCCAAGCAUCCACACUAUGUUUGUCUAUGGUCCUUACUUUGUAAAAUAAAUCAAUUGAAAACAUUUCAAUGAUGAUCAUUUCACAAUUCCAAAUCUUUAUUGCAAGUGUAAGAAUUCCAAAUUCUUUUCACUACUAGAAAGUGUUAGAUUCUAAACUAUCAUGCAAUGAUUCUUUUGUAAUUUCUAGGUACCAAAAUUCACAGAGACUUGACCAACGAUAUUACAAACUAUUCCUUUGGAGAUUGUUACAAUACAAUUCCAUGGAAAUAAAGUCUCAAAUUCAAAGUACAUUCCUUUGAACAUCCUUCUUGCAUAAAACUUUCUAAUUUUCUCAUAUUAAGGAAUAACUUCCACUUAUGAAACAUUUCCAUAUUCCCAUUUUGACUAUCACUUGUGAACAAGAGUUGCCUCUUUUCAGAAUAUGUCAAUAUGGUCCUACACUAUACUUCCAACUGUUGAGCAACCAAUCUUCGGUAAACCUCAUAUUGUCCUCGACAAUUGCUUAACCAUUUUAGUCAUAUCCAUUUCUGAUUCUUUUUCCCUCUUAAUGUCUUAGGCAUUUGGAAAAUUCAGAACACAUACAUAUUAUAGCAUAUGCAAUCGAUCCUAUACCCGAAGCAUAUUGGAAACGAUUCAUAAAGACAUAAUACUUGACCAGUCUUUUGCUACAAUAUUUCUAUUUUCCAUGUUCUCAUAAUUUAGAUUAUGAAGAGGUAUGUCGUAAUCAUAAACAAAUUUUGAGAACGCAAUUAACAUUUCCAUAUAUAGAAUUUCCUUACGUUGAACCAUUCCAACAUAACAUUCAUAUAUAUUUGACUAAAUUUGAUUAAAAAACUCAAUCUAAGCUUUUAGAUUUUGAAAUGAAGUAUGAAUUCCUCUCCCUUAAUUAUAGCAAAACAACUUUUCAAACCCUGCAUCUUUGGAAAUUGAAACUUUUGUUUUCUAUGAUUAACAUUGCUAACUUGAAAAACUUUCCAUAAUAAUUAUGCUCCCACUAGCAUAAUAAUUAUUAUCUUACUAGCAUAAAACUUAUGCUCCCACUAGCUUUGACAUGUAUUCAGAAAUCAACUAGACUUCUAGAAAUCAAUACUUAUUGACUUAUUUUCCAAAGUUCAGAUUUCUGAUACGAGAUGCUUUGAUAAGACUUUAUCUAGGCUUCUCAAAACCAUACACCUUUCCUUAGAUAGCUCACAUGUGUGUCUAAACAAUUUUAGAACUUACCUCAAUAAGUCUCAAAUGUUUAGACCUUUGGCAUUUCUCAUAAUUCGAGCUAUGAAGAGGGAUGUCGUAAUCAUAAUCGAAUUUGAGAAUGCAAAUAACACAAGUGCUAUCUCCUUAAAAUCUACUUUGUGAAAGUGUUUCCUCACAAUCAUUUGCAUGAAGAGGAAAGAAACCUUAUGACACUUAUUAUGGUGUAUGUGUUCCUAUCCAUGUAAAUUUGUCAAACCAUAAUCACAAGACAGGGUUAGUGACAAAUCGAAACUCAUAUGGACUAAACUUGUUCAAUCUUAAUUUCUUGCCACCUGGCAGCACAAGGGCCUACCAUUGCUUCCAAGUUGUUAUUCAAACAAUUGAGAACUCAUAGAACUCACAUGCAUAGUCAACUUUAACUGGAAUGAGCACAGAAAUAAGAAUAUGUCAUCACGAUAGGUUACAAACCUCAAGUCGUGUGUUAGUGUUUAACAAUAGGUUUACUCUUUAUUUCUUCUUGAAACUUUCAAGAUAUUUAAGACUCCCACUGACCUCUUGACAUAUAAGAUUUACUUUGUCAAGGAACAUUACUUGAAAAACAAAUAUUCAAGAGUUAGUGCGGAUUCUAAUCAAGACUAACACUUCACACAAUUGGUCUUAGUUGGUCUUUGUCCUUACCAAGACAUCACAACUUACCAAUUUCAAAUGUACAAGGGUAAGAAACAUUUUACUCUACAUUUGAUGAGUGUCAUAAACCUUCUUAAGAUUAUGUCACUUAAGUUACAAUCUUGGAGUAUGACUCUAAGACUUGUUCUUGGAACGUAGUAUGACUCUUCUUCUUGAUUUAACCAUUUCAAAAAUUCACGAUUCCUCUUCUUAGCCAUACAAAUGCACUAAGAUAUCCUUAGAGGAUCAAUAGUGAUAUGGUUUUCCAUAAUCAUUAAUAUGAUCAUAAAACACGAUACUAAUACUCUCCCAUCUUUUCAAAUUGGAGAAACCUUUUAUCUUUCUACCUAAUUUGAUUCUUCUCAUUCGCUCUGCCAUACAUUGAAACUUUUCCAGUUCAGAAUUAUACUUAAACUUGUAAGCAUAAUCAUAUUUACUAAACUUUAUUAAAUCAUGACGAAUAGUCUUAUCGUUCUUUGUGGUGGACCUAACCAAUGCACACCCAGUGUACCCGAUCCCCUAGACCUUUACUUGACUCACAUAUACAUAUGAACAAGGAAUUAGUCUUAAUUUACCAAAGAUGGAAAUUCUCAUUCAUCACACAAUACAAGUUGCAUGAUUCCAAGUUUCUAUCCAACUGAAACUUGGGUGAUGAGAAUCUUUCCUUAUUUGGUAAAUUUUUACACUACCACAAACGAAAGAAUCAAACCCAUAUUGCUAACAUAGAAACAUCAAAACAUCAAUUUUCACAAAUGCCAUUGCAAGGAGAUAUAAUAAAAUAAAACAAAAUUUUAUUUAUUUAUAAAAUGCAGAAAAACUUUUCCUUACAAUGCAAUUACAAAUGAAAAGUAUGUUAUUACAAAUUUCUAAGCAAUCUAUCAUAACUCUUAAGCAGUAGCUCAAGAAUCUGAUCAUCGAACCAUGCGAUCGAAAUCCAUUUCUUAGCGAUCAGACUCGGCUAACUCUUCUUUUAAGCUUCCUUUGAUUCUACAAAACAUCAAAAUGUAAUUUUCAUUACAUCAUGUAUUAAGAAUCUCCAAAUAGGAAUGUAACACCGCAAAUUUCAAACAAAUUUUUUCAUUUUUAAAUCACAUUAUUCUCAUAACACAUUUUAUAAAAAUCCCAUUUAUUUAAUUUACAAACGCAACUCCAUGUUUGUUUGAUUAUAUUCUAGGAUCCUCUAAACAUAGCUAUUUCUCUGGUGUGUACAAUCAAGCCGCUACCUUCCCGCGAUCCCAAGAAAAACCUAAAACACAUAACACAUAACACGGCAAGCACAAAGCUUAGUGAGUUCCCUAAAAUACCACAUACAACUCAUUAGCCACUCGAGGAUAUAACUCAAUAAGACCCUUCAGUCAAUGUGUCUUAGUGGGACCCUAUGGUCCCACAACUCAGAUGGACCCUUCGGUCCCUCAACUCAACAUCUCAAUAUAAUACACAAAAAGCAUAACACAAAGAAAAUAGCAGGAUAUCUCAUUACACAGCUCAUGCACAUAAGACCCUCUGGUCACACAUAAAAAUUACCACUCAAGGUAAUUAUAGUGAGAAGACUCGCCUCGCAACAAGCGUAAGCAACUCCUGCACCCGACUUGCUAAUCUAAUCCCCGCUUAACAUAUGUCACAAGUCCCACUAAUUAACACAAGACAUGAAUAUCCCAUAACGUUGGGUCAACUUCUCUACUAAGUCCCAGGAGGGUAAAAAUACCCUUUUUCCACUCAAAAAUCCAUAUUUGCUCAAAACCCUAAAAGUCAACGAAGAGGUCAACACACGGCGUGUACGCCGGGCAUACAUCUAGCCAUGCAUGCAAUGGCGUGGCUUAGUGCUACGCUGCGCGUAACUGGAAGUACGCUCAGCGUACAUCCCAAUCUAGCUUAUUCCACUCUAUUGGUCUUAACUCAUUAAGACAAAGGCUACCACCACAGAUCUCGGUCCAAAAAGGUCUCUUAUAGCAUAAAGUUGGUGACUUUAAGCCCCCUCAAGGCUGUAUAAGUCUAGAUCUCAUAUAAUCUCACUCAUUCACCAUAAAAAUCCUCAUAUCCCUUAAAUGGGGAGGUCUUGACACCCAAGACUGCAUUUUUAUGAACUCUAGCGUGUAAAUACAUCAAAGAGGACAAGUAUAAGGCUCUGGGGUGGACCAACUCAUAAAGCUUCAAGCUUUGGGGACAUAAACCCUAAAAUGGACCUUUAAAUGAACUAUGCAAAAUAAGACCAAAGCUUUCAGCUUGAUACCUUCGAAUACUGCUCCAUCCACAAGGGAACUCAGAUCCAAAUGCUUGAAUUCCAACUCUUCUUCCUUCAAAGUUCCUUCUUAUCAAAAGGAUUACAUCAUAUCACUUCAUAAGCUUCCAAUGCUCACACAAGCUAAAAACGAGAUUUAGUGUUUUGAGGGAGGUAAGGUGUGGGAAAUGGUGGCCGAAUGUGAAGGCAUAUUGUUCCUUAAAUAUGGACACCUCAACACAUUAGGGUUUUCAUCCAGAAACUAGUACGCCCAGCGUACCCUCUGGUACGCCCCGCGUACUAGGUGGCCUUCGCGUUUCUUCCACGCACAUUAGUACGCCGAGCGUAUGCAUAAUUACACCCAGCGUACUCAAUUGCCACACAUUUUCACAAUAAGGGCUAAACUUGCCAAAUCUUCAAACUACCGUGGCUCCUUCGUUACAAGUCAGUUUCCAAUGAAUCUCAUAUCCUCGGAAAGGUGUCAAGAUGCUCUACGCUUGUAGCAACUUGUCGCAACCCCAAGACUUCCUCAUGCCCGGGUCGCAACCCAAAACACUAAAUUCUCGGACGAACCGAAACCGGAUGUUACAAUUCUCCCCCACUUGAAAUAGAUUUCUCCCUCGAAAUCGCUCCUUACCAACACACAAAUCGAGCCCAAAACCUGAGAUGCACCACCAAAGGUCCUCAAAUCAUACAAUAAUCACUUUCAAAGACACUUGAUCCCAACAGAGACUCCCGACCCAAAUAUGGACAAACCCAAGUGCCGAUGCGGUACUCGAUAUAACUCCCCAUUACUUGAAAACUCUAGCGGUCUAUCUCCUUACCAGACCACCCUUUCAAAUCAUCAUUCUGCUAAUCGCCCUUCAACUAACAGACUCUAGGAAGAUUCUUCAAACCCUAAUUCCCUAAUCGAUCUCGUUCACAACUCAGAAGGAACGGAAAGUUCAUAAUCUCUCCCUCCUUCUAAAACCUAAUAUAUGAACAGCUUUCAGAAUUCAUCGGGGAGGAAGAACCCAAAACUCUGGCACCAAACACAAGAAAAAGAUCAUGAUCGCCUAGAAGUAUCUUCUGACCUCUAAAGACACAAGCCUCAGAGCCCUCUCAAACAUUCUCUUCCACACUAAGCACCAGGUCAGCUCUCGACCCAAGAGGUGAACCUCCAAAGGUUACCCAUUUCAUAACAAGAAGGUCUCACCGACUUCCCUCUUACAAUAACCAUCUCGGCUCAUCAUGACACACAAGUCAUGAAGUUCUCUUUACCCCAAACGAACACUACAAUCCUUUUCCUACAAUCACCUCACUACCGACCUCGAUCGUCUACUACUUACUAGUUUCUGGUGACUCGCGGUCCUUCCCAAACCAAUGAACUAGCUCGCUCGAUUGCAAAACAUCAUAUGGAAACGUAUCUCUCUAAGAAUGAGUUCCACCCAAAGUCUCAACCGCUUGUUCUCCACGCAGAUAGAACCAAACUCAUCCACCAGAGUCUGCCUCGUCACAGAAUUAGGACCACUCGUCCCAAUCUAGCACUCAACUCAUGAUCCGUAAUCCAUGAUUAUACGAAGUUGUUACAACUCGAUCCGUCCAAUUCACAACAAUCCCUUUUUAACUCAAAAUUGUUGGAUUAGUGUCUAAGCCUGUAACUAUAUUUGGUAAGUACUUGUCCCGAUUGUGCAUGGUCCUUUUGGGUUGCCUUCACCAUAGCAACUUGACAGGGUGAUUUAUAAAGAGAGAAGAGAUAUUAUUAUAUUUAUAUAUUAUGAGAAUAAUAUAUUAAAGGGAUAAUAAUAUUAUUUGAUUAAUGUAAGUCAUAAAUUAAUUAAGAAUUAAUUUGGGGAAUUAAAGAGGUUAAUUGAAUAAAGGGGCAUAAACUGUCAAAUGUAUGAUAGUUGUGUUUUUGGGCUAUGUAUCCUUAUGGAUAUUAGGGUGGACGAAUUUUAGGGUUAAGAUAUCUUAAAAUUGUCCAAGCCUCAUAUCUAGCAGGAUCUUUGGAUUACUUAGGGCCUAAGUUAUUCAAUUAGGGUUAAGGGUGAAACCCUAGUAGCUCAUAGUAUAAAUAGACCCUAUGGGUGAGGGAAAUCGGCCACACUUGCAAGAAAGAAACCCAAGAGUCGAUUUCCUCACUUCUCCUCUCUCUCAAGAUCAUCCUCUUGCUAGUUGGUGUUUGUAAGACAUUAGAGUAGUGACAAUUAUGACUCUAAGCUCCAAGAACAAGAAGUUUAAAGCAAGCAACUUAAGGUAUUCUUCUAGAUCUAAUUUCAUAUGUUAUGAUUUAAAUGUUUACACUAAAUCUAGAAUGAAAGCCUUGGAUACAUUGCAUGUUCAAUUAGAGAAACCUAGAUCCAAGCAUUAGGUUUUGCAUGUACACAUAGGAAAGUUCUUAUGGCUCAAACCCAUCAGUGGUAUCAGAGCUUUGAUU